CCAAAAAGGCCGCCCGCCGCCAUCCGAUUCCAUCCAUGGCUUUUGUAUGAGCUUUUGUGUGAUUAUGAUAGAAUACGAGUGAAAGUUAAAAUUGAAAGUUGAUUAGAAACGUACACCUGCGAUACUGAAGAUUCGUUAAGGUCAACCUUGAAGGAACCACAAUUUGCAGGAAACAUCCUGGAUCCUAUGUGGACCUAUGGAACUUCUGUGCAAGGAUGUGACCCACAGCUGGAGGGAGCAUGUGACCCACAGCUGGACGGAGCGUGUGUUCAGCCAUUGCGGUAGCAUUGUGUACAUCAGCAUCUCUCCACACGGCAGCCUUAAGGAUUCGUUUGAGACUGUGUAACAGGCCCUGUAAGCCAUAGAGAGGACGAGGAUGAGGAGGAGGAGAAGAAGAAGAAGAAGAAGUCUCGCAGCGGGAGGAGGGAGAGCGGCCCCCAGUCCACCGCCAUGGAGACGACGGACUCCAAUCAACCACCACCCAUGUUGCAUCCACCUGAGUGAUACGCAGCAGCCAUUUUGUGCUCGAACACUCACCACCCACCAUUUUCCGGUUGAGAGGAAGGGAAUCAAUCAUCCAAUCACAGUGAACCCAGCACCUGCACGCUAAUACAGGGGUUAAGUGCCUUGCUCAAGGGCACAACGGUGGAAGCUGGGAAUUGAACCGACAACUUCCAGGCUACUGCCCGCGUCAGUAGCCCAUCCAGGACGUGCACCAGCCCCGCUGCAGUAACAGAGGCACCAGUAUCCACGAUAUUCCGCAGCCAACAAUGGGGGUCGCCAUGACACCGAGACGGUUUUCUAUUUCCGGCGAAGCUGCAUUGUAUCUGUUUUAACGUGACGGUUUACGGUGCUUAACAUAUCAUAACGCAUAUAAAAGUCAACUUUUCUAUUUUAUAUCGGUUAUAUGUGAUGCAGUAUAUACAUGCUGAGGGCAGAAUUGUCAACAUUUCGAAAGAAAUCUAAGUUGAGGCAUAACCUAGUUUGCUAUGGAGAACGCACAUGUUAACAGAAUGAACGGAAGUUGAAAACAGUAUCGUAACCAUCGCAACGAUACAUAUUUCCGGGUUAAGGAAAGAGGUGAAUAAUCGAAGGCCCACCCACCCACCCACCCACUACCCAGCUCACACAAACUGAACACCCUUCUGGCGUCUGGCAGGCACCACUGCAGCAUGUGUGUGCAAGACUCGACCGCCAGAAUCAGCAGCGGCCUUUUCCCACGGGCCGGCACAUUACUCACCUCACUCAAGAAAAUAUCAUGAACGUGCUACCUCUGCGCCACAUACACCCACCGCGACUGGACUGGACUGGACUGUUAUAAACUAUUGAAAACUCACGUCACUACUAUGCACUCUAUACUCACAGCAACACAUGUAGUAUUAGUGUCUAUGCUGAUAUUCGAUCAGCACUUUUUUGGACUUUACCCUCAUUACUUCAUCAUUGUUUAUGUCUCUGGCACAGUGUGCAAAAUGUUUUAAAUGCAAUAUUUGCACAAACUUGUGCAACGCCUUGUCUUGUCUGUCUCUACCUACUUGUCUGUCUAUGUUGUGUUUUAGGUGUACCAGUCGCUGGCUGUGUACACUACUUCUUGUAUGCUAAAUGCUAAAUGGGUCAUUCUAUGAAACAAGACCCGUUUGCGUCCAGAACUUUUGAUGAGAUGCAGAAGGCCACAAACUAGAACAAAAUCAAAUAUACUUUAUUGAUGACAUUAGACAUAUUUAUUCACAUUAACUUGUCUGUAAGUAGCAUACUUAAUCCUACCACACUAUCACUCUAAUUAGACAGGAAUGUGAUGUUUUGGAGGGUGAUCAUGUCUUUAAUACUGUGGAUUAAUUGAGAAGAAGUUUACUUUUGAUGAAAAUGUUAUAGUGGAAAAGGCAUCCGUUGACCCAAAUGUUUUUUUACAAACCUGCAUAUUGGACUGUGGAGAAACGUCCUUUUAUUCUGCUGGGUAAUUACUUGGUUUAUAGUCAAUAGAUUGCCAAUA